AGGGAAUCUUCCGCAAUGGACGAAAGUCUGACGGAGCAACGCCGCGUGAGUGAUGAAGGUCUUCGGAUCGUAAAGCUCUGUUGCCAGGGAAGAACGUCCGUUAGAGUAACUGCUAACGGAGUGACGGUACCUGAGAAGAAAGCCCCGGCUAACUACGUGCCAGCAGCCGCGGUAAUACGUAGGGGGCGAGCGUUGUCCGGAAUUAUUGGGCGUAAAGCGCGCGCAGGCGGCUGUUUAAGUCUGGGGGUUAAUCCUGGGGCUCAACCCCGGGUCGCACUGGAAACUGGGCAGCUUGAGUGCAGAAGAGGAGAGUGGAAUUCCACGUGUAGCGGUGAAAUGCGUAGAGAUGUGGAGGAACACCAGUGGCGAAGGCGACUCUCUGGGCUGUAACUGACGCUGAGGCGCGAUAGCGUGGGGAGCAAAC
rnacentral:rRNA from 1 species